AGUUUACCUGUGGAGAAGUUGAGUUGUUAUUAUGGUGGAAUUUACUUACACUUAUCUUGGAAAAUUGGUUUUUAUUGUGUUGAAAGUUCAAAGACUGUUAGAAGCCUCACUUUUGUGCAGUGAAUUAGGGGCCUUGUUUCCUGCUUUCAAGAGGGGGUUUUUGCAAUGUGUCGAAUGAGCCUGCUUUCGUGUUAACACCUCGCCGACUACUUGAGGUGAUUGGAUUGGCUCCUCUAUCAGGACGGCAUCAUUCAAGGUAAAUGCUCAGCAACAUAGUCUUUGAAAUAUUUGUCUUUGUGUUGGUCAAUGUCAAACUUAGUUAGCACAUUUUACGCAUAAUUAUGGAGGCUUUUAUUAAAAUACUCACUCGAGAAUCAUGAACCCCUCUCGUCGAGUCUUAGCAGAGUAUUCCCUGUUUUAGCAUUGUGUUCGUUAUGUUCUUUUUUUUUCCGUGGUUGCUGAAUGCUGCUCCGAUGAUGAAGUCUAGAGUUGUACCAUAUCGUUCCAAUUGCUGAACUGCUCUUGCAUGUUAGUGGUAAUGUAGAGAUGAAGGGACAACUGAGGAGCU